rnacentral:rRNA from 1 species
CCUACGGGAGGCAGCAGUGGGGAAUCUUGGACAAUGGGCGCAAGCCUGAUCCAGCCAUGCCGCGUGAGUGAAGAAGGCCUUAGGGUUGUAAAGCUCUUUUACCAGGGAAGAUAAUGACGGUACCUGGAGAAUAAGCCCCGGCUAACUCCGUGCCAGCAGCCGCGGUAAUACGGAGGGAGCUAGCGUUGUUCGGAAUCACUGGGCGUAAAGCGUGCGUAGGCGGUGACUCAAGUCAGAGGUGAAAGCCUGGAGCUCAACUCCAGAACUGCCUUUGAAACUAGGUCGCUAGAACAUCGGAGAGGUGAGUGGAAUUCCGAGUGUAGAGGUGAAAUUCGUAGAUAUUCGGAAGAACACCAGUGGCGAAGGCGGCUCACUGGACGAUUGUUGACGCUGAGGCACGAAAGCGUGGGGAGCAAACAGGAUUAGAUACCCUGGUAGUCCACGCCGUAAACGAUGAUAACUAGCUGCUGGGGCACUUGGUGUUUCAGUGGCGCAGCUAACGCAUUAAGUUAUCCGCCUGGGGAGUACGGUCGCAAGAUUAAAACUCAAAGGAAUUGACGG